AGUUUGUCUCAGAGUGUACCUCAGGGUCUAGUUUCCACGUCCCUGGGUGGGACAGGAGAGCCAGCCUAGUGAGCAAAGACAGGCAAAUCGCAGUAGAAUGCAGGGAAUCGUUUCUGGCAGUGGUAGCACACACCUUUAAUCCCAGCACUGAGAGGCAGGUGCAGGCAGAUCUCUGAGUUCAAGGCCAGCCUGGUGUACAGAGGGAGUUCCAGGACAGCCAAGGCUACACAGAGAAACCCUGUCUUGGGGAGGAGAAGAAGAACGCAGGGAAGCAUCUUACAAUAAAAAUGGAUGGGUCUUGGGACUGAAGAAGAGCUACUUUACCCAUUUCCACAGACAGGUUUUUGGAAAGUUUCUACACCCCAUAAGUCUCUCCGCCCAUGCAGCAAUCCAAAUCAGACCAAAUCAAACUGAAUUAGAAAAAGCCCAUGUUUAAUGGAUACAGCACUCCUGGAUGGCCUUCCAGCCCCCCAGAGAGGAGACAGAAAAUGGAAGAUCAAGAAAACCACAAGUGACUUCCCAUACAUGCAGAGACCAGAAGAGGAAGCUGGGUACCCUGCAACUGAAGACACUGGUUCUUGGGAGCUAGGAGUCAAAGUUAGGUGCUCUGGGAGUGCCUGUGUGCUCUUAUGACUCAGCCAUUCUCCAGCCCUCAGAGCCAUUCUUUAUGUCAUUAAAUUGUCUUUGCAACUGAA
rnacentral:lncRNA from 1 species